UGGGUGGGUGUGGACCUCAGGCUUGGACAGACUACUCCCCUUCACUUCCCUUCACCACCAAAGUCAGUCCACUGUCCCAUCAGUGAGUCCCUCUGGAUCCCAACCACCACCUCAGGCUCUGAGCCACCUGCAGAUUCGAUUCCAGCCUCUUUUCCAGCACCUGUAAGACUCAUGGAUUUCCUACCCUUCCCACAUGUCCUUCCAGCCCACCUUUGAGGACUCUAAUGCCACUAAUAAUCUAACGAGGACAGUGAUAAUGAGCGUUGGUUGAGAUCACAGUCCAGGGCGGGCCUUGCCCAGCCGUUAUUUGUGAGCUCACAGCAGCCCUGGAGUGUGGCAGCAGCAGAGGACACCAGUCCCAUUGGCUGAAUUAGCGCCCGGGCCUCCUGGCUGGUGCCCAGGCCAGUGCCCUUUCCGCCUUCAACCCCGCCUGGAGCUGGCUUCCUACGGCUUGGCCGCCACUUCCCCUGACCUGGAGAGGCCGCGCUUUGGGCCCUGGCGGAGCCGCUGCUCUUCAGACCGACGGGCCCAGGGCUGAGCACCCAUCACUGAAUUGGCCUAAUCUCCAUGCUGAGACAAGAAAAGUUCUUCACGAGAUCAGUUUUUCAUUUACAUGUGUUCUCUAGUUCCACACACGCAAGAGGACAUGGAUAAGUAGCAGAUGGAAAGUGGCCAUCUGCUCAGGGAAAGACUGCUCAUCGGAGCACCGAGGUUCCCUGCUCCCAGGGCCAUGCACAUCACCAAAACUGGUGACGUGUCACAGCUUCCAGCUCCUUGCUAGACAGCACUGCAGGAAAAUCUCCUCCACUUUGUAGCUCAAUAUUUCAAGAUAACAGUUGGUCAGAGGCUCCAAAAGUGUCAGCAGGUCCUAGUUGUGAUCUUUCAUAAAUGGCUCGCCCACUCUGAGCCUCAGUUUCCCCAUAUGUAAACCUAGGACAUCUCUACGGACACCUCAGGAGGGCUUUCUCUAGCUCCUGGGCCACCGCAGCCCUCCUGGAAGGAAGCCAUGACACAGAGACACCCCCCACCCCCAUCCCCGGUUCGGCUCUGCUCCAGACUCCAGGACCCGUGCUGACCUGAGGCAGAAGGGACAAGCUCUAGCCCCUUGUCUGGGAUUUGUCAUGUGGUCCAGUCCUGACACCCCCAGCCCAGUUCAGGAAACCAGGUGUGGGUCCAACUGACUUAGGCAGCAAACACAAAUGAGUCCCCACUCAGAGCUGGGCACUGCUCCAGGAUACACACAGGAGUGGUACUGGUCCAGCCCCAGACAGCCCCAGGGGAGGUGGACAGGACAGCACGACACCGUCCUCCGUCCAGCGCCCACCAGUGCCCAGCCCAGUGAGAGGAUGUUUCUGGACCCUUGCACCCGAACUUGGACCUAGCCUGCACCUGUGACCAGCCUUGGAGCCCUCCACGCCUUCACUCUCACCCUCGACUGAACACCCCCUUCCUCACGUCUUAGAGUCCUUCCUGAGCUUGGUUGCGGGGGGAGCACGCAGCCAGGAUAUCUAAGACCUCACUCCUCCCAGCCUCCCCAACUCUGGCUGCCCCCUCCCACUGAGACCCCAACACUCAGGGGUAGGCAUCCUGAGUACCCCACGGGCUGUGGGCCAGGACUAAGCUGGGAACACCCCCACACUCUGGGGCACCUGCUUGGGCCCUCUUCACUGAACUUCCACUCCCACCCAUGGGGUCGGUGCCCCCAGCGGCCACCCAUAACUGACCUCAGGGGGAACGUGUGGCCCAGGUCAAGAUUGCCAGAAAAAUGCCAGACGCCAGCUAGGUUUGAAUUUCAGAUAAACAAUAGAUCGUCUUCCA